rnacentral:rRNA from 1 species
UACGGGGGGAGCAAGCGUUGUUCGGAUUUACUGGGCGUAAAGGGCGCGUAGGCGGCCACCGCAAGUCGAUUGUGAAAUCUCCGGGCUUAACCCGGAAAGGUCAACCGAUACUGCGGGGCUAGAGUGCAGAAGGGGCAACUGGAAUUCUCGGUGUAGCGGUGAAAUGCGCAGAUAUCAGGAGGAACACCGAUGGCGAAGGCAGGUCUCUGGGCCACUACUGACGCUGAGAAGCGAAAGCAUGGGGAGCGAACAGG